UCCUUCCUCAGGUGAGUUAACGCAAUGGUUAAACAGUGGUCUUGGCAUGAAGUUUUCAAAGUGAGCGGACGUGUUCCUUGAGUGCUCCGUGGAGGUGUACUGCUGAGACUGUCUACAGGAGGAGUUUCCGUCAACAAACUACUCCAGUGGAACCGGCAUCUCUCCAGCUUUCCAACGAGCCAUCGCGCGAGAAAAUUGGUUAAGAUAAAAAUCCAUUACAAAUAGUGGUAGCAGAGCAUAAAACUUGACAAAGAAUUUGGUAAAAAUGGGUAAAACAAACAAGCGAAGAAAGGGCGCUCGAUCGUGCUUGCGAAACAUCUUUCAGGAAGAAUCUCCAAUAUCACGAAUGGCAACUCCAGAUCGCUCACAAAUGGAAAUGACAAUUCGUGAAACUAUUUCUCAAAAACAUCGACAAAUGAUGGAAAGCAGCAUCGACACGUUGGUACAAGCCUUCUCGGAGCAACUAAAGCAAUUUUGGCCAAAAAUAGAAUCUGAUAAAUUACAAUUUAAUUCAGUAAUAUCUGGCACAGCUCAAAAUACCUUAUCAACAAGCAUCAAUAUUAAUUCAGAGGGAACAAUUCCUUCUUUGCCAACCCCACCAAAUAUCCAACAAAAAAUAGAAAAGGAUUUGGAAUUAACUAACCUUGAACUUGCCUUGAAGGAAGCUAAUUUGGACAAUAAUGAUAUCCAAAAAAAUAAAAAUAAUCAAACAAAACAAUAUGGCCCACAAACAGGACUUUGCAGGUGAAAUUGUAGAAAAGAGCUACAAAGGGACACACACACAAAAAAAAAAGAUUACGCCUUAAAGGAUUAUGCUAUCAGGAUCUACUUUCGUAGAAAAGCCCCCAUCUAAAUAUCUGGACUUCACCACAAUUGGUAAAUUUCCGAACUUUAAACUAUUUCAGCCGCUCUCUACAAUAGUAUUCUUGUGUGAAUUGGCACCCAUAUAGAUGAAAUAAAAAUCAUGGAUAUGAAAGAGUACUUGGCCGUAGAUUGUUAAACGAAUCCAUGUUUGUUCAAAUAGAUUGUAAUUCCAGUAAUCUAAAGACUGAUUGUAAUAAACUAAUUUACAGCAUUGGUUAAAAAACUAAGCUUCUCUUAUUAAUGUAUCUUAUUGAUUAUAUAAAUGUACAUAUAAAUUAUAUAAUAAUAACUUAUUGUAAGAAGUGUACUUAAAAAAUCGUUGACUUGUAAAUGAUUAUUACAUUACUAUUUUUAUUUAAGACGUGGUACAUGUAAGCAGAAUUAACAUAUAACACAUGUUAAUGUUAUCUCUAUGUUUGUAAAUUAACUGAAUUUGUAUUUUAAAAAAAUUUAUAUUUUACUAUGUUGUUGUAAUGCCCUGAGGAAGGGCAAAUAUAGAGCCGAAAGCUUGGCAAUUACAGUGUAUGAUUCAUUGAAUAUUGUAUCCAAUAUUGUAAUGUAUGUUGUAUACAUUGUAAAAUUGGUGCAAGCUGUAAACAUAAAUAAAUUAAAAACCUGUUAUAAAUCGAAAACAAAGUUGGUAAUGUUUUUUUGGAUGAUGUAAUGAAUGAUAUUCCUAAUUAUGAAAAUACCUUGAAAAAAUGGACUAUGUACCAAUAAAUAUCCUAAACCUGAAUAACCUAAGUUGGGUGAUAUCAGAAUAACCUUGUCAAUCCUGAGUAAGCGUUAUGCAUGCCUUUCUUGGACCAUAUACCCAAUAAUAUUUAGCAAAGGGUUGAAAAAAAAAAAAAAAAAAAAAA